UACCUGGUUGAUCCUGCCAGUAGUCAUAUGCUUGUCUCAAAGAUUAAGCCAUGCAUGUCUAAGUACAGGCCUACCCAGGGCGAAACCGCGAAUGGCUCAUUAAAUCAGUCAUGAUUUAUUGGAUGUCGUAAAAUCCCUUACAUGGAUAACUGUGGUAAUUCUAGAGCUAAUACAUGCAAUUGAGCUCCGACCUCGUCGCUGUCAAAGGCGUCGAGGGAAGUGUGCUUUUAUUAGAUAAAAAACCGAGUGGACUUCGGUCCUUCUCCCAUAAAGAGUCAGUGAUGAAUCUGAAUAACCUAGCCGAGCGCUGCGGUCUUCGUACCGGCGCCGUAUCUUUCAAGUGUCUGCCUUAUCAGCUUUCGAUUGUAGGUUAUACGCCUACAAUGGCUGUAACGGGUAACGGGGAAUCAGGGUUCGAUUCCGGAGAGGGAGCCUGAGAAACGGCUACCACAUCUAAGGAAGGCAGCAGGCACGCAAAUUACCCACUCCCGGCACGGGGAGGUAGUGACGAAAAAUAACGAUGCGGGACUCUUCCGAGGCCUCGCAAUCGGAAUGAGUCUACCCUAAAUCCUUGGACGAGGAUCCAUUGGAGGGCAAGUCUGGUGCCAGCAGCCGCGGUAAUUCCAGCUCCAAUAGCGUAUAUUAAAGUUGCUGCGGUUAAAAAGCUCGUAGUUGGACUUCUGAUUCGGUCCGGCGGCCCAUCCAAGGCGUACCCUCGUCACGCGCGAGCGGGAUAUCUUUGGCUUCACCCGUCUCGGUGGUCUCGUGGGCGAGUGCGAGUACUUAUAUUGCGCAGUCGGUGGCGUUGGAUAAACACGGAACCUCUCCCGCUAUAAGGCGCGCUUUGGUGCGUGCGUCGCGGAGAAGGGCUCAAGCGGGGUUGGAGAUGCGAAGCGGAUCCGGGCGGAUUGGAUCUUCCCCUCACGGGUGUUGAUCGGCGGUUUAGCGGGGGCGAGAGUACUUUCGACGCGGGGAAUCAAGGGACCGUUGGGGAGGAGUGAGGUUUCGUACCUCUCACACCACCCGCGAUCAUCCCUCCUCGCGCCGGAUUUCCACUUCUCGUCUCUUUCGCGGCCGUCGGGAGUCCGUGAGAAGGGGCCUUUCCGAAUCCGUUCGUUCUCGUCCUCCUUCUUCCCGUUCCUUCUACCCGGCCACGCGUUUUACAUGCCAUUUCGCGCUGGGAUGCAUCUUCCAAUCCUUCGCUCAACCGCUCGUUUUUUAUGCUCCGCACCCGCUCGGCGUUGGCCCCGGGAUUAAAAGCGGGAGUACGCUGUAUGGGUACUUCCCGUUCCGGGCGAGUAAGUGCGCCCGGUGGUUCAACUGCCCGGCCCCGAAUUGAGAAAUCCGUCGGCUUUCACGGGGUGCUCUUUACCGAGUGUCCCGCGUGGCCGAUACGUUCACUUUGAAAAAAUUAGAGUGCUCAGAGCAGGCAAUAACUAACGCCUGAAUGGUAGUGCAUGGAAUGAUGGAACAGGACCUCGGUUCUGUAUCUUUUUUGGCUCGGUUCGUCAGAACCCGAGGUAAUGAUUAACAGAAAAAGACGGGGGCAUUAGUAUUGCGACGCUAGAGGUGAAAUUCUUGGACCGUCGCAAGACUAACUACUGCGAAAGCAUUUGCCUAGAAUGUUUUCAUUAAUCAAGAACGAAAGUUAGAGGAUCGAAGGCGAUCAGAUACCGCCCUAGUUCUAACCAUAAACGAUGCUAACUGGCGAUCCGCUUAAGUCAUUCCCACGACUGAGCGGGAAGCCCCCGGGAAACCAAAGUCUUUGAGUUCCGGGGGAAGUAUGGUUGCAAAGCUGAAACUUAAAGGAAUUGACGGAAGGGCACCACCAGGAGUGGAGCCUGCGGCUUAAUUUGACUCAACACGGGGAACCUCACCAGGCCCAGACGCCGGAAGGAUUGACAGAUUAAGAGCUCUUUCUCGAUUCGGUGGGUGGUGGUGCAUGGCCGUUCUUAGUUGGUGGAGCGAUCUGUCUGGUUGAUUCCGAUAACGAACGAGACUCUACCCUACUAACUAGUCGGCGGAUCGUCUCCCGAGAAGGGCCCUCGCCCGGUAGUUUUCGGCGUCCCUUCCUUUCUUACGCCCCCUUUCGCGGUCGGCGGCGCAUCCGUGCGGGUGGCGCGAGCUCGUAUUCGAAUUCAUUCGUUGCGACGCUUCGCUCUCGCGCGGUUUGUCGUCGUCGGCGGGGAGGGAUCAGCGCCUGGGGGAAGCGUCGUUGCUCCGAGCGUCGGGCCCAGCGAGGGGCGUCCGUCGCAACAUCUUCUUAGAGGGAUCGGCGGCGUCCAGCCGCACGAGAAAGAGCAAUAACAGGUCUGUGAUGCCCUUAGAUGCUCUGGGCCGCACGCGCGCUACAAUGAAGGGAUCAGCGUGCUCUCCCCCUCCGAAAGGAGCGGGUAACCCGUUGAAACCCCUUCCCGAUUGGGAUUGGGGCUUGUAAAUAUUUCCCAUGAACGAGGAAUUCCCAGUAAGCGCGAGUCAUCAGCUCGCGUUGAUUACGUCCCUGCCCUUUGUACACACCGCCCGUCGCUACUACCGAUUGAAUGAUUCAGUGAGGGCAUCGGACUGGCGCCCUCGGUAGCCUUCGGCUCGCAAUCAAAGUCUCGUUUCGGCGGGGCUGCGGCCGCGGGCACCCCGGGCUGACGGAAAGAUGUCCGAACUUGAUCAUUUAGAGGAAGUAAAAGUCGUAACAAGGUUUCCGUAGGUGAACCUGCGGAAGGAUCAUUA
rnacentral:rRNA from 1 species